ACGGGAGGCAGCAGUGGGGAAUAUUGCACAAUGGGGGAAACCCUGAUGCUGCGACGCCGCGUGAGUGAAGAAGUAUUUCGGUAUGUAAAGCUCUAUCAGCAAGGAAGAAAAUGACGGUACUUGACUAAGAAGCCCCGGCUAACUACGUGCCAGCAGCCGCGGUAAUACGUAGGGGGCAAGCGUUAUCCGGAUUUACUGGGUGUAAAGGGAGCGUAGACGGUAUGGCAAGUCUGAAGUGAAAUGCAUGGGCUAAACCCAUGAACUGCUUUGGAAACUGUCAAACUAGAGUGCAGGAGAGGUAAGUGGAAUUCCUAGUGUAGCGGUGAAAUGCGUAGAUAUUAGGAGGAACACCAGUGGCGAAGGCGGCUUACUGGACUGUAACUGACGUUGAGGAUCGAAAGCGUGGGGAGCAAACAGGAUUAGAUACCCUGGUA
rnacentral:rRNA from 1 species